GAUGAACGCUAGCUACAGGCUUAACACAUGCAAGUCGAGGGGCAGCAUUUUAGUUUGCUUGCAAACUAAAGAUGGCGACCGGCGCACGGGUGAGUAACACGUAUCCAACCUGCCGAUAACUCGGGGAUAGCCUUUCGAAAGAAAGAUUAAUAUCCGAUAGUAUAUUAAAACCGCAUGGUUUUACUAUUAAAGAAUUUCGGUUAUCGAUGGGGAUGCGUUCCAUUAGUUUGUUGGCGGGGUAACGGCCCACCAAGACUACGAUGGAUAGGGGUUCUGAGAGGAAGGUCCCCCACAUUGGAACUGAGACACGGUCCAAACUCCUACGGGAGGCAGCAGUGAGGAAUAUUGGUCAAUGGACGAGAGUCUGAACCAGCCAAGUAGCGUGAAGGAUGACUGCCCUAUGGGUUGUAAACUUCUUUUAUAUGGGAAUAAAGUAUUCCACGUGUGGGAUUUUGUAUGUACCAUAUGAAUAAGGAUCGGCUAACUCCGUGCCAGCAGCCGCGGUAAUACGGAGGAUCCGAGCGUUAUCCGGAUUUAUUGGGUUUAAAGGGAGCGUAGGUGGAUUGUUAAGUCAGUUGUGAAAGUUUGCGGCUCAACCGUAAAAUUGCAGUUGAAACUGGCAGUCUUGAGUACAGUAGAGGUGGGCGGAAUUCGUGGUGUAGCGGUGAAAUGCUUAGAUAUCACGAAGAACUCCGAUUGCGAAGGCAGCUCACUAGACUGCAACUGACACUGAUGCUCGAAAGUGUGGGUAUCAAACAGGAUUAGAUACCCUGGUAGUCCACACAGUAAACGAUGAAUACUCGCUGUUUGCGAUAUACAGUAAGCGGCCAAGCGAAAGCAUUAAGUAUUCCACCUGGGGAGUACGCCGGCAACGGUGAAACUCAAAGGAAUUGACGGGGGCCCGCACAAGCGGAGGAACAUGUGGUUUAAUUCGAUGAUACGCGAGGAACCUUACCCGGGCUUAAAUUGCAUUUGAAUAAUCUGGAAACAGGUUAGCCGCAAGGCAAAUGUGAAGGUGCUGCAUGGUUGUCGUCAGCUCGUGCCGUGAGGUGUCGGCUUAAGUGCCAUAACGAGCGCAACCCUUAUCUUUAGUUACUAACAGGUUAUGCUGAGGACUCUAGAGAGACUGCCGUCGUAAGAUGUGAGGAAGGUGGGGAGGACGUCAAAUCAGCACGGCCCUUACGUCCGGGGCUACACACGUGUUACAAUGGGGGGUACAGAAGGCAGCUACCUGGCGACAGGAUGCUAAUCCCAAAAACCUCUCUCAGUUCGGAUCGAAGUCUGCAACCCGACUUCGUGAAGCUGGAUUCGCUAGUAAUCGCGCAUCAGCCAUGGCGCGGU
rnacentral:rRNA from 1 species